rnacentral:rRNA from 1 species
UGUAGCCAAGUCAGCGAGGCU